GAUUUUUUGCCCCAGAAUUAAACUGUCUGUAUCACAGGUAAAAGCAACAAGAUUAUCCUGGCCAAAAUCAUUCUCAGAAGGGUCGGUCGAUUGCACUCGGUAAGAAAUCUGCCACAUAUUUUCGAUUUCAGAACAAUGACACAGCUAUGGAAUGAAAUGCCUUCUUCACGGUGAAGGCAAUUCAUAGGAUUCGACAGCCAUUGACUUAAGCCCUGAAACAACAGAAAUCAGAAUCGUUGGUGGAAUCUUGUUACGAAGUGUUUCAAACUUUCGGUUGAAUGUGAAAAGAG
rnacentral:lncRNA from 1 species